UACGUAGGGUGCGAGCGUUGUCCGGAAUUAUUGGGCGUAAAGAGCUCGUAGGCGGCCUGUCGCGUCGGUUGUGAAAGCCCGGGGCUUAACCCCGGGUCUGCAGUCGAUACGGGCAGGCUAGAGUUCGGUAGGGGAGAUCGGAAUUCCUGGUGUAGCGGCGAAAUGCGCAGAUAUCAGGAGGAACACCGGUGGCGAAGGCGGAUCUCUGGGCCGGUACUGACGCUGAGGCGCGAAAGCGUGGGGAGCAAACAGG
rnacentral:rRNA from 1 species